CUUGAACGCUGGCGGCAUGCCUUACACAUGCAAGUCGAACGGUAACAGGUCUUCGGAUUCUGACGAGUGGCGAACGGGUGCGUAAUACAACGGAACGUGCCCGAGAGUGGGGGAUAACGAAGCGAACGCUUUUCUCAUACCGCAUACGAUCUCAGGAUGAAAACAGGGGGCCGCAAGGCCUUGCGCUCACGGAGCGGCGGAUGGCAGAUUAGGUAGGUGGUGGGAGAAAAGCUUACCAAGCCGACGAUGUGUAGCUGGUCUGAGAGGACGAACAGCCACACUGGGACUGAGAGACGGCGCAGACUCCGACGGGAGGCAGCAGUGGGGAAUUUUGGACAAUGGGCGCAAGCCUGAUACAGCCAUGCCGCGUGCAGGAUGAAGGCCUUCGGGUUGUAAACUGCUUUUGUACGGAACUAAAAGACUCUGGUUAAUACCUGGGGUCCAUGACGGUACCGUAAGAAUAAGCACCGGCUAACUACGUGCCAGCCGCCGCCGUAA
rnacentral:rRNA from 1 species